rnacentral:rRNA from 1 species
CCUACGGGGGGCUGCAGCAACGAAUCUUCCCCAAUGCCGGAAACGGUGAGGGAGCGACGCCGCGUGAGGACGAAGUACUUCGGUAUGUAAACUUCUGUAAGGGACCUACCCCAAUUGCUAAAGGGGCGGCUAACUCUGUGCCAGCAGCCGCGGUAAUACAGAGGCCCCAAGCGUUACUGAGAAUCACUGGGUUUAAAGGGUGCGUAGCUGGUCCGUUAAGUUCGUUGUGAAAGCCCUGGGCUCAACCCAGGAACUGCUUCGAAUACUGGCGGACUUGAGGCUAGGAGGGGUGACUGGAACUGACGGUGGAGCGGUGAAAUGCGUAGAUAUCGUCAGGAACGCCAAUGGUGAAGACAGGUGACUGGCUGUUCUGACACCGAGGCACGAAAGCGUGGGGAGCUAACGGGAUUAGAUACCCUGGUAGUC